UACAGAGGGGGCAAGCGUUGUUCGGAAUUACUGGGCGUAAAGGGCGCGUAGGCGGCCUGUUAAGUCGAACGUGAAAUCCCCGGGCUCAACCCGGGAACUGCGUCCGAUACUGGCAGGCUUGAAUUCGGGAGAGGGAUGUGGAAUUCCACGUGUAGCAGUGAAAGGCGUAGAGAUGUGGAGGAAUACCGAUGGCGAAGGCAGCCCCCUGGGAUAACACUGACGCUCAUGCACGAAAGCGUGGGGAGCAAACAGG
rnacentral:rRNA from 1 species